rnacentral:lncRNA from 1 species
GUCUUCCAAGGUACUAUAUGAUUGUAUUCUUACAUAACGAUUAAUGAUUUAAUAUUGAGCAAUCUAAAGAUUUUAUCACAGAGAAAAUAUACAUACAUGAGAAGCCUUCUCAAGAAAAUGGACUCUUUGAAAUGAUAAAAUUGAACUAAUACUCAACAGUCAAGCGAUGGAUUAUCAUGAGGUGGAGUACCGCGAAACAUAUCAGAAGACUUAUCUGGGAUGCAUUUGUCUGAUUUCUUUCUUCAUUUUUCGCAUUUCAAUUACCUUUAGUACGCAAUAGUGUUACCAUAAAAAUAAUGCUGCUAGCAAAAUAAGCACAAGCAAGGAAACGCAUUGGUAGAUAGAUUCGCGAGAAAAAGACAUUUGGUGCCCUGUGACUUGCCUGCCUUCUUUUGAUAAUUUGUUACAUAGACCACACAAGUUUAUUCAAAUGAUAUACCUACAUAGAUUUAAAUGCCCUGAACGUCAGGCCACCCUGAUCAUAUUUAAAGAGAGCAAGAUAGCAUAGACAUGAAACAUUUAAGUAUCUACUUAUUUGUCAAUGCUUGAUAAUCAUGUAUAGGAUCCUAGUGCUCAGUUUUAGAAGAUAUCUAAGUAUGUUGAAUAUUAUGAUAAAAUGUAAUUCGUAAAAAAAUGAGUUAAAAUUCACCUCCACGUGAAGAAGAUAUAGAUCUGAAUCUAGAAUUAAAUUUUGUCCAAUAUGAAAGAGCCAACGUGGAACAACUCGAUCUAUCCACACCCCAAAGUUUCUUGGAGAAGCAAAUAUCAACCUGCUAUUACCCGGACUGACUGGAAUACAGUAGAAAAUUAGAAGCGCUCUUUUCUGUGUAACAGGUGAUGCUGGCUCCUGCAUUAAAGAUAAAACAUAUUGCUAAAGAAAUAUGAUGAGAUUAAGCCCCUGUUUGACAACCAUACUUUUGGGGAAAAAAAGAGUUUUGAAUAAUAAUUUUUAGGAGGAUGUGUCGCUAAAAAGUACCAAAAAAUUUUGGAUUUACGUGCAGAAUGUUAUUGUGAGAAUGUAUGGUUGAAAAUGAGUAUGUAGAAAAAAGAGUUCGACAAAUAUGGUCGUCAAACAGGGGCUACUUAUUAAGCAAUCAAAACUUGAGACGAUAAAAAUAUCAACUAUUUACCUCCGUGGUUCCAACAGAUGAUGUGGACUGCUUACUUGGAUCCCCUCCUAGACUGUAAAAACUGUAGUAGAGACAGGGUGCAACAAAAUUGUUAUCCCCAGUUGCUUUCGCAGUGAAACCGUUUAUGUCUAGUUUCUGUAAACUUAUUUCAACCGGUUUGCCUCC